UGAGGAAUAUUGGUCAAUGGUCGAGAGACUGAACCAGCCAAGUCGCGUGAAGGAAGACGGCCCUAUGGGUUGUAAACUUCUUUUGCAGGGGGAUAAAAAGAAGUACGUGUACUUCAUUGCAGGUACCCUGCGAAUAAGGAUCGGCUAACUCCGUGCCAGCAGCCGCGGUAAUACGGAGGAUCCGAGCGUUAUCCGGAUUUAUUGGGUUUAAAGGGUGCGUAGGCGGACCUUUAAGUCAGUGGUGAAAGUUUGCGGCUCAACCGUAAAAUUGCCAUUGAAACUGAAGGUCUUGAGUACAGAAGAGGUAGGCGGAAUGUGUAGUGUAGCGGUGAAAUGCAUAGAUAUUACACAGAACACCGAUAGCGAAGGCAGCUUACUGGUAUGUAACUGACGCUGAGGC
rnacentral:rRNA from 1 species